UACAGAGGGGGCAAGCGUUGUUCGGAAUUACUGGGCGUAAAGGGCGCGUAGGCGGCCUGUUAAGUCGAACGUGAAAUCCCCGGGCUCAACCCGGGAACUGCGUCCGAAACUGGCAGGCUUGAAUCCGGGAGAGGGAUGUGGAAUUCCAGGUGUAGCGGUGAAAUGCGUAGAGAUCCGGAGGAAUACCAGUGGCGAAGGCGGCACGCUGGGCCAUAACUGACGCUAAGACUCGAAAGCAUGGGUAGCGAACGGG
rnacentral:rRNA from 1 species